GACGAACGCUGGCGGCGUGCCUAAUACAUGCAAGUAGAACGCUGAAGGAGGAGCUUGCUCUUCUGGAUGAGUUGCGAACGGGUGAGUAACGCGUAGGUAACCUGCCUGGUAGCGGGGGAUAACUAUUGGAAACGAUAGCUAAUACCGCAUAAGAGUAGAUGUUGCAUGACAUUUACUUAAAAGGUGCAAUUGCAUCACUACCAGAUGGACCUGCGUUGUAUUAGCUAGUUGGUGGGGUAACGGCUUACCAAGGCGACGAUACAUAGCCGACCUGCGAGGGGGAUCGGCCACACUGGGACUGAGACACGGCCCAGACUCCUACGGGAGGCAGCAGUAGGGAAUCUUCGGCAAUGGACGGAAGUCUGACCGAGCAACGCCGCGUGAGUGAAGAAGGGUUUCGGAUCGUAAAGCUCGGUUGUAAGAGAAGAACGAGUGUGAGAGUGGAAAGUUCACACUGUGACGGUAUCUUACCAGAAAGGGACGGCUAACUACGUG
rnacentral:rRNA from 1 species